GACAGAGGGGGCAAGCGUUGUCCGGACUGACUGAGCGUAAAGCGCGCGCAGGCGGUCAGAGGCGUCGGUGCUCAAAGUCCACCGCUUAACGGUGGGAGGCGUGCCGAUACGCUCUGACUGGAGGGCGGGCGAGGGUGGUGGAAUUGCCGGUGUAGUGGUGAAAUGCGUAGAUAUCAGGAGGAACACCAAUAGCGAAGGCAGCUCGCUGGGACGUUACUGACACUGAGGCGCGAAAGCGUGGGGAGCGAACAGG
rnacentral:rRNA from 1 species